rfam:Talpa europaea prion protein (PRNP) gene, partial cds.
CGGUGGUGGAGGCUGGGGACAGCCCCACGGUGGAGGCUGG